AGUUUGAUCCUGGCUCAGAUUGAACGCUGGCGGCGUGCCUAACACAUGCAAGUCGAGCGGUAACAGGUGUAGCAAUACAUGCUGACGAGCGGCGAACGGGUGAGUAAUGCUUCGGAAUCUACCCAGUGGUGGGGAAUAACCAGCCGAAAGGUUGGCUAAUACCGCAUACGACCUACGGGUGAAAGCAGGGGAUCGUAAGACCUUGCGCCGAUGGAUGAGCCGAAGCCGGAUUAGCUAGUUGGUAGGGUAACGGCCUACCAAGGCGACGAUCCGUAGCUGGUCUGAGAGGACGACCAGCCACACUGGAACUGAGACACGGUCCAGACUCCUACGGGAGGCAGCAGUGGGGAAUAUUGGACAAUGGGGGCAACCCUGAUCCAGCCAUGCCGCGUGGGUGAAGAAGGCCUUCGGGUUGUAAAGCCCUUUUGUACGGGAAGAAAAGUCGUCGGGUAAUAUCCGGCGAUGCUGACGGUACCGUAAGAAUAAGCACCGGCUAACUUCGUGCCAGCAGCCGCGGUAG
rnacentral:rRNA from 1 species